ACAAGUUUUCCCAUCAUAUUCAAUUUCUACUUCAAAGAAGUGGUGUUUAUGAUGAGGAAAAACACUCAGAAAUUGAGCAUCAAAUCAAUGGCAGCUUCAGAACAUGUUAGCAAUGCUGAGAAACUGAAAUGAAGUCAUGGAUUGAUGGGAAGGUUUUCAGAAUGACACAUAAGUUGAGACUGCAACUUUUUAGUUCAGAUCUCUGGACAUUUGUCUCUGAGAAACUAAUACUUCCCCAACUGACUCAUAGAAUUGACAAAGCUUCCUGAGAAGGCAGCUAUACUCUGUACUCUACUGUACAAUUCAGUAGCUAUUUAAGCACACUCCAGAUUUUCCAGCCUCAAAUGAAAUCUUACUUAUGGCUUGUCUCCAUGGGCAAUAUGAAAUGUUUGCUUAUCUUCCUGGUUUUAGAUAGGAGUAAACCCCUCCUUUUGCUUAUUCAUUAAUAAUAUAAUUAUGUAGAAACACAAUAUGAGAAAAAACAGUUUUUAGGUGCUCUGAGAGCCAACUUCCAGCCCCAAGAAAACAAAAUAUUUGGGCUGAAGCUAUACAAAGGAGAUACACCAUUGAUAAUCAGGAGUAAAUGAAGAAUCAUGAAGGAAACAGCUGUUUGGUGAGCAGAGCUGCACCAUCCAUCAGGAGCAUGGCUGCGCCCAAGGCAACAGAAGCUUUUCUAUUCCUUCUUUUCUUUUUUUGGAUCUAGCUUGCAGCACUUGUAAGUAAAUGAGAAGGGACAAACAACAAAGGGAUUUGAGUCUUGUUUCUGUUGUCUGUAGUAUUAUGUGUAUAUUUCUCAUUGGAGAAAGCACUGCAAUGUAUCUCGUAUUUUUAGGGUAAAAGGACCAUUGAGCAAAGAUUAACCAUUCUGGAGCACUAACACUGCAUGAAAAGGCAUCGUUAUAUUUGACAAGAGGUGAUUUCUGUUGGCAGAAACCUGUUAUUUGACUUCAGUUAUUUGUCUUUGUUAAAUGAGGAGUACAUUUCUAUGCAAUGUAUGUUUCAGGUCUUAACCUGAGGAAUGGGGUAUAUUUCAUGGCACACAGGGGCUAUUGCCUGUUUUGCCCAUCUCUUUAAUACAUACUGCUCAUCACUCCAUUCUUUUUUACCCUGAAGCUUCUCUGGAGUAGCUGACACUAUCUCUUUGUAGGUCAGGCAGCAACAGAAACAAAGUUUCCUUUAAGUAUCUCACUUAGUAGCAGGAUAUGGAAAUAGUCCAACUAUUCAUCUAUGAUUUCUUGAAGGCACAUUAGGAUGAGAUCACAGUGUUUAUGCAAAGGAAAUCUUUCCCACGGCCAUGCUUAACUUUGUGGAAUAAUCUCAGUUCUGUCACAUCCUGACUCUCCUGUACCUAGUGGUUCAUGCCCACGCUUUGAUUGUUUCGAGUCCUGUCACUCAGUUAUUCCUUCUUCCUUAUGCUAACCCUUGAAAUAUCAUCUUCUGCACCAGUUCAAUAUGUCUGUUUUAUGAUUAAUAUGCCUUGUGCCUGAGCUUGGAGCCCAUUUAAAAAGCCUCAGUAGCCUGGGACUUCCUAUGAGAUUUUCCAUUUCCUUUUCUUAUUUACUGUAGAAAAUUGCUGAUGGAAGAAAAAAAAGUUUCCCCUUUGCUCAUGGAAAAUACAUAAGAUAUUGAAUACAACUUCAAGGAAUAGCUAAGGUCCAUCUGGCUAAAACAGGAGGCAGAAACAAAAAGGGGAAGAUCAGAGUGCAAACAUCUGGAUUUUGGUCCCAAGUUGUCCAUGUAACAGACUGAAGUACUGAAGUACCUAACCAACUGCAUUCUUAUUCACCCUGGUGCAUGUGAGUUCUUGCUGAAAAUAAAGAGAAUAAGUAGGGAUUAUACAGAGUAUUAACUAACAUCAGGUUACCAUCCAGAAACUUGUUUUCUACAGUAUCUUCUUUCCCCAUGCCUUACUCAGGUUAUUCUGAAUCUAUUCCACUGGUGCCUCAUUAAAAUGCUCCAAUAUCUUCAAGAUGAAAUAACUAGCAUAUCUGGGUUUCCUCUGGAGUCAAGGGAAGCUGGAAGAAGUCUCCAUCCCACUCAGCUUGUCUCUGUGGCCUUGACAAGUUUCUUCAUGUGACUGUUCUUCAUCUGUUACAUGCCAGUAGCACCUUGCUUCCUUCUGCUCUGGGUCCGAAAACACUCAGGAGGUGCAGGUGUUCACAUGCAGUGCAGUGCCAUCAUAGUAUAUUAAAGUUUCCCGCACUGAAAUACCUAGAGGUGACUUAAAAAACAAAUGCAUAAUAUUUUUUAUGGUUGGAUGUGUUUAUCACUGUAUCAUAGCAGUAUCUCAAGAUGUGAGUAACAACUGUAAAGGCACUGGGAGCUUUUUGAAUGGUAAAUGUUUCGUGGCUAUUCUGUAUUUCUUCCUCUCGUAUUUUGAGCUCCUGAGUUGUAUCAUCAUUAUUUAUGAGCACGUGAACUCCAGCACAGUGUACAGACCUGUACCUUGCCCAGGGAGUGUGGGUUUGAUGCUGCUCUGCCAAGCUUGAGCAGCCCUGGCUGAUUUCACAUUCUGUGGCAGAAUUCAAUUUGGACACCCUGUGUGAAGGAAGGUUUCAGGGUCAGGUGAAAUAUAGUAGCUCGCUUUCAAGCAUUGUAAAUUUUCAGGUGGGCAGAACUGAACGGAUUGCCCUUUACCCCAAAAUGUAAUUUCUCUAUUACAGAAGAGUAGCAUUUGUAAAGAGCUUCAACUGAAGUAGCCUCUGCGUGCAGUCUCUGGUCAGUAACAAAGCAGUGUUUCAUGGGUUAUGAAGGCAGCAAUAAAUUCUAUAUUGACACUGAAGAAAAUUUAAUAUCUGCUGCAUUUUCCUUUAUGUAGGAGGAUACUUACUGCAGGGUAAUAUGUUGGCAAUUUUGAAUAAUUCAAGUAGCCAAAGGCACUUCUAGAUACAGGCAUAUGUACUUCAAACCUGCAUCCCUUCCUAAGAUCUCCUCCAUCAGUUCUGGUACUUGCUUCUUGUUUUUGUGAGGAUUUUGUGCACUCCUACUAAAUUAUGAAGCUUUGCCUUCUUCAGCCUGUGAUUAGAUUCUUUGCUUUUACCCUAGAGUGACAAUUAAACAAGAAGCCUGUGCUAUCCUAUAAAAGAGCAUGAAAGUAAACAUGGGAAACUCAUCACGAACUUCUCCUUUCCCAUGUCACCAGGCACACUAGGCAUGACUGCUCCUGCUAGUUGAAAGUAAUUGAAACAGGUGCUGUAUUAAUAUUUAUAAGUCCUCACUAAAGCUCUUUUUCAUCUGCUCAUGAGCUAUGCUGCACGUGGAGCCCUUUCUGUGGCCUGGCUCUCAAGUGCCAUCCCUUUUCUCAUGCUUCUUGUGUACAUUAUGCACAUUGCCACUGGAAUUUCGUAUUAUUAAUAACUUGGUUUUUAUAUCUCAAAGCACCUGAACAGAGAUGUCAGUGUCCCUUUUCUUCCCAUAUCUGGCCAGGGAGUACUGAUCUCUAAAAAAGAGCUUCUGCUCAAGCAAGCUUAAAAAUAAUAAUUAAACAAGCAGAUCUACAAAUGCUGGCAGGCAGCUGAGGGAAUGCCCUGCCUCCAGCAUGGGCUCAAGUCUGAGGAUUUGAUGCUCUCAACUGUGACAGUAUUGGGAGGGACGAAAUGGCAUUGCCUCUGCCUAUUUCUAUAGUUCUUGGGUUUUUCAUGACUGACAUCAGCGUGGAGCACUUCUAACUGAAAACCAACAGGGACAAAGCCCCCCACUGGAGUCUCAGACCUUCAAUGGCCAGCAGCUCCCUGCUUUAUCUUGAUAUUCUGUUGGUGUAGUACUCUGCUCAGAAGCCAAAAGAAACCUCUGCAAAGUCUCAGCUGACCUCUUGAGAGCACAGGGACAAAAUACUUGCCAGCCAAAUCCACUGUGUAUUGAAUGAUGUGCUGCAGAGCUACAGGGUCUGACGGAAGGAGAUCUGUCUGUCAUCUCCGAGCACUAGGUGACACUACAGUAUGCAAACAUAUACUGUUUAUCAUUAUGAGUUUCAGUAAAAAAAAAAAAAAGUAGAAGAAUGUGAUGUCUGAGGACAGAUGGACAAGAAUAUUAAGAAGUAUCCAUUGCAGAGGCUCAGAGAGCGGCACAGAUGUGUGAUAAUGUCUUGGAUGUAUUUGGAGACUUUUUCCAAGGUAUUGUUUUGUGACAGAAGGAUUCAAGUGUCUAAACACAGGUGUGGGUGCAGCUUACCACAUGCAAUGAUGCCUUCUGGUCAGCCAUGUGCCAGAAAAUAGAGGAGAAAUAACAGUGCUUGCAGAACGGUGGUUUCCAAAUGAUUGCUUAGACAUUUAAAUAAUUAGGUCUAAGAAUUAGAGCAUGGAAUGGCAUACUGAGGUGCCUAGGAAGAGCUGGGCAAAACAUUUUUUUUAAGAAACCAUGCAAAAUCUAUUGCAGAAUAAUUUUUUUUUUCCUGGAUAUGUUUAAUAAUUUUCUUUGAAAUGUUACCAAUAAAAUUAAAAAUUCCCAUGGUGGAAUUCACCA